AUUGAACGCUGGCGGCAUGCCUUACACAUGCAAGUCGAACGGCAGCGGGGACUUCGGUCCGCCGGCGAGUGGCGAACGGGUGAGUAAUGUAUCGGAACGUACCAUUGAGUGGGGGAUAACGUAGCGAAAGUUACGCUAAUACCGCAUAUUCUCUCCGGAGGAAAGCAGGGGACCGCAAGGCCUUGCGCUCUUUGAGCGGCCGAUAUCAGAUUAGCUAGUUGGUGAGGUAAAGACUCACCAAGGCGACGAUCUGUAGCGGGUCUGAGAGGAUGAUCGGCCACACUGGAACUGAGACACGGUCCAGACUCCUACGGGAGGCAGCAGUGGGGAAUUUUGGACAAUGGGGGCAACCCUGAUCCAGCCAUGCCACGUGAGUGAAGAAGGCCUUCGGGUUGUAAAGCUCUUUCGGCCGGGAAAAAAUCGCAUGGGCUAAUACCCUGUGUGGAUGAUGGUACCGGAAUAAGAAGCACCGGCUAACUACGUGCCAGCCGCCGCCGUAA
rnacentral:rRNA from 1 species